AUGGCCAUAUCUUGCCAAAGCACUGGUUCUCACAAGAUCACUGAAGUUAAGCAACAUCAAGCUUGGUCAGUACUUAUAUGGGGGACCACUUAGGAAUACCAGGUGUU